CCUACGGGAGGCAGCAGUGGGGAAUAUUGCACAAUGGGGGAAACCCUGAUGCAGCAACGCCGCGUGAGUGAUGACGGCCUUCGGGUGGGAAAGCUCUGUCUGCAGGGACGAGAAUGACGGUACCUGAGGAGGAAGCCACGGCUAACGACGGGCCAGCAGCCGCGGUAAGACGUAGGGGGCGAGCGUUGUCCGGAUUUACUGGGCGUAAAGGGAGCGUAGGCGGACUUUUAAGUGAGAUGUGCAAUCCUCGGGCUCACCGUGAGUGCUGCCUUUCAAACGGUAAGUCUAGAGUGCAGGAGCGGCGACUGGACUUCCUUCUGUAGCUGUGCAAUUCGU
rnacentral:rRNA from 1 species